rnacentral:lncRNA from 1 species
AAUUUGUCUUUUAUGAAGGAGAUUUAAUUGCAGCCAUCUUCAAACAAAUUGGAAAAUAACCAGGAGCAAUUUUCUCCCAGCUACUCCUGUUCUUCGCUAAUUACCAGGCGCAAUUAGAAUAAUUCUACAGCUUUCUGCGGAUUCUGCAGUUCGCCGGUGGAAUCGGAUUGGGAUCAAAUUCGGCUGUGGUUUUCUGGCUAGCAAAGCAUAUGUGUGCUUCAGGAAGAGAACCCCUACUGCAUCUGGAAUUGGAGCUGCAACUUGUAGUUGUCUGAGCCACAUUCUUCACUGAUCUGAUGUGAUGAGAGUGGGCUGCUGGAACAUGCCUUGCUUGCCUCUUGUCACAGGUUUGUUAAGACUGUUUUCAUAAUUUUCACAAUUUCAUAUUUUUCAGUCAAAAUCUGCUUGUACUUGGAAAACACACAAGCAGGUUUGUAUUUAGUGCCUUAAGCUUUAGAUGCAAAUCUUCUAAAAGAAGUUGGUAAGGAAAACCAAAGCUGAAACAAAAAAACAAAUGGCAAACCAAAAGUGAAAUCUAUUUGCCUACACAAAGUUAUUUUAUAUACUAGGCUUUUAAAAUUCUGCCAAUUUUUAUGGGCUUCUAGUUACUUAUUCCUGG